rnacentral:rRNA from 1 species
CUUGGAGGUUGUGCCCUUGAGGCGUGGCUUCCGGAGCUAACGCGUUAAGUAGACCGCCUGGGGAGUACGGCCGCAAGGUUAAAACUCAAAUGAAUUGACGGGGGCCCGCACAAGCGGUGGAGCAUGUGGUUUAAUUCGAUGCAACGCGAAGAACCUUACCUGGUCUUGACAUCCACGGAAGAAUUCAGAGAUGGAUUUGUGCCUUCGGGAACCGUGAGACAGGUGCUGCAUGGCUGUCGUCAGCUCGUGUUGUGAAAUGUUGGGUUAAGUCCCGCAACGAGCGCAACCCUUAUCCUUUGUUGCCAGCGGUCCGGCCGGGAACUCAAAGGAGACUGCCAGUGAUAAACUGGAGGAAGGUGGGGAUGACGUCAAGU